rnacentral:sRNA from 1 species
GCUGGGUGUGGUGGCAUACGCCUGUGAUCCCAGCAGCUCAGGAGGCUGAGGCAGGAGGAUCGCGAGUUCAAAGCCAGCCUCAGCAAUUUAGUGAGGUGCUAAGCAACUCAGUGAGACCUUGUCUCUA